GGAGAGAUGGCUGAGUUGGUCGAAGGCGCUCGACUGGAAAUCGAGUAGGCGGGGCUUAAACCUCGCCUCGUGGGUUCGAAUCCCACUCUCUCCGCCA
rnacentral:tRNA from 1 species